rnacentral:rRNA from 1 species
AAGCUUGCUGCUUCGCUGACGAGUGGCGGACGGGUGAGUAAUGUCUGGGAAACUGCCUGAUGGAGGGGGAUAACUACUGGAAACGGUAGCUAAUACCGCAUAACGUCGCGAAGACCAAAGAGGGGGACCUUCGGGCCUCUUGCCAUCGGAUGUGCCCAGAUGGGAUUAGCUAGUUGGUGGGGUAACGGCUCACCAAGGCGACGAUCCCUAGCUGGUCUGAGAGGAUGACCAGCCACACUGGAACUGAGACACGGUCCAGACUCCUACGGGAGGCAGCAGUGGGGAAUAUUGCACAAUGGGCGCAAGCCUGAUGCAGCCAUGCCGCGUGUAUGAAGAAGGCCUUCGGGUUGUAAAGUACUUUCAGCGGGGAGGAAGGGCAGUAAAGUUAAUAC